AUCUGUCUGUACCUCGCCGCGUUCCCUUUUUCCGCUUCACUUUGUUGCGAUUGUUUUCCUUUUUUUCACUUUGCAUACUUGUGUAGAUGUAAUAGAGAGAGAACAAGGAGGGAGACGAGG
rnacentral:ribozyme from 1 species